GAUGUAAUAAGAAGAAAGAAUAUGUUUAUAACAAUGAGAUAAUAUGAGCCACACCAGUCUUGAAAUUAAAUCUCUGAGAUUUCUCAGUCCACUUAGUGCCCUUCUGCCAAGAGUCAUAGACAUCAUGCACAUAAUAUAUAUCAGAAGAGUGUAGCAGCAACAAAUAGCCAAAGCCCAUCUUAAUGCCUGGAUUUGGCAUAAGCUUACAUCUAUCUUUCAGUUUCAUGAGAACUCAGUGCCACAGACAGCUAUCAGGUCCCAGUGUUUUGUCCUCAGAACAAGUGAAAGCUAUGCCUUCUACUUCUGGUUUCUAAUAGUUUCUAUCCUUUGGGGUGAAGGCUGGUGCCAGAAUGAGAGGAAACGUCAUGCCCUGUGAGAGCCAAGAGCAGCUGGUGCUGUUGCCCUGGCAUUUAUGGGAUAUUACAGGCGUAAAGGCACAUUUGGAACUGGUUGGGGAAAGAACUUAAUGUUUCUUUCUUUUAUCUUUAUAAUCCACUUUCCUAGUGAGGCUUAUCCUGCCAUUCAUACUAAAUUUAGCAAAUGCAAUUUUACAAGUAAAAAAAAUAAUAAUAAAAGCUGUGUUGCCACAAGGUGCUCUGAGAGUGCGGUGUGUGCUGGAGAGAUAAACUGCCUCUCAUCAAGGGAAACAAUAAACACAAAGGCACAAAAACUUGUUCCAAUUGUUUUGCUUUUGAACAAUGAAAGCCAUUUUUGUAGGAAUUAACCAGAGGGAGUUGUACAUCUGGAGAGCGGUGAACACAUCAUUUCUGUUUCAGAGAAAACUGCAAUUAUUGCCAAAAAAAUUCAUCUGCACUAUGAGCCAAAUUUGUCAAGCUGGUAGUGUCAUUGAGAGGAAUUUGCCACUAGAAACUUGUGUAGCAUGCUAUUUUCCUUAUUUAUUUCCAGUUGCAUCUUCCUUUUCUUUGAUAGAAUUUUUAUGGUUUAUGUUUAAAGAAGAGGUGCGGGAACGUGGUAGGUGAAAACUGGAGUUUUAUUGUCAUAGUGAUGACAUUAAAAUAUUUCUCUGGGUGCUGAAAUCAUAGCUCAGGGGUUUUGAGCCAGUACUGCUGUUUAAGAGGACCAACAAUGAGUUCCCAGCACCUAACUCAGAAAGGUCACAACUGCCUGUAACUGGCCUUCUUGGAUGUGCACUCACAUAUGCAAACCUUCACACUGGCACACAUAUCAUUUAAAAACACAGUGAACGGAAGUGAAAAUAAAAUUCCCUAAUUCUCAUAAAGGGCCUCCAGGCAGUUUUUACAAGCCAUAGGCUUUUUUCCUUGGGUAUUCUCUAUGUUCUUCUGAUACUCUUAGUCCUUUCAUAACAUAUGUAUAGUGAAUAUUACAGGGUUUUACAUGUGUAAAAUUUAUAUCUGAGAAAUGACACCUGAGAGGGAGAUGGAAAUGGAAAGACACCUAGAAUCCAGUUAAUAGAGAAGAAUGAACUUAUUAACAGUCAUGGCUAUUAUAUAUUAUACAUAAUUUUAGUUAAGCAUGAUGUUUCCUUAUGGUCUUUUCAAAUUUUUAAUGCUAUUUAUCCCUCUGCCUUCUAUCUGCCUGUGUUUUACCUAUCAUUUAUCCCUCUGCCUUCUAUCUGCCUGUGUUUUACCUAUCAUUUAUCCCUCUGCCUUCUAUCUGCCUGUGUUUUACCUAUCAUUUAUCCCUCUGCCUUCUAUCUGCCUGUGUUUUACCUAUCUUUUCCUUCUCCAGUUAAAGCCCACCCCUAAUUUUCCCAUUUCCCCUGUAGUAGGAACUGUGUUCUGCUAUGUUCAUUUCUAGACCUCUUUCUCCCCGAACUCCUGCCCGAGAUUCCUUUUAACUUUCUUGGUUUCUAUGACUCCUCCAUGUCACAAACUCACAUCUAAAUAUCUGGAACUCAGAUUCACAAAUAUGAGAAAUAGGGUGAUGUUUAUCUUUUGGAGUUUGGGUUACCUCACUCAGUAUAAUAUAUUUUAGUUCUAUAAUUUUAUUUCAUUUUUCCAUAUAACUGAAAAAACGUUCUAUUGAAGACACAAACUUGUAAUGUUACUAUUUCUGGCCCAGGAGUUUCUGCCAUCCUUCUCUGCCCCAAAGAAGCACAUGGAUGCUAUAGUAAUUAUGGAACUCUUGGCCAUGUAGGCUGUGGUUUCUUACAGACUUCAAGCUCUAUUAUAGAGAUAUAGUCCUGAAAAUAACUUGGUAUUGGCACAAAAACAGACUGGUAGACCAAUGGAAUUGAACUGAAGAACCUGAUAUCAACCUACACGACUUUGAACACUUGGUCUUUGACAAAGAAGCUAAUUAUACAAUGGAAAAAAGAAAGCAUCUUCAACAAAUGGUGCUGGCAUAACUGGAUGAUGACAUGUAAAAAACACCAUGCACAAACUUAAGUCCAAAUGGAUCAAAGACCUCAACAUCAAUCCAGCCACACUGCACCUCUUAGAGGAGAAAGUGAGAAGUACCCUUGAACUAAUUGGUACAGGAGGCCACUUCCUCCAUUAUAAAAUGUCUUUACAGACCUAGUCAUUAACAUUUUUUCUUUCCUCAAGAAAGGAUAAUUUACUGUCUACCCACUUAAAGAAUAUUAGGCUCCUGUAUACCGACUUUGUUUUGUGUGAUUUCUCUUUGGAACACUUGAGUGCUUGGAGUCACAGCAAAUGGCACUCACUAAUAAAAGUCACAGAACUGCGUGGCUCCAGUUUCCCACCCCUGGCCUGAGCAAUGUGGAAAGGUGUGUCUGGGUAGAAGCUGGCUUCUCUCUACAGCUACCUCUGCUGUGCUGUCCUCUCGGAACAUGUGCUGUGAAGCUCAGUCUCUGCAGUGCACAAGCAAAUCCAAGCAAGGCCCUGGUCCCCUGAAAUCUGACCUCUCAGACGCUAACAGUGUAUGGAACAAUACUGAAGCUAAGAACAGGGUUUCUCCUUGAGCGUAUUUUCCUUCAGAUUAAAAUAGUUUUAAAAAGUUAAUGUGUCUUUUCUGAACAACAGCAACAAAAUGUUGUAUUUUAUGAAAUGUAGUGAUGGAAUUGUAUCUUUUUCUUUGUAAGCCAAAGUAGUCAGAAACACUGAUCUUUUUUUUUUUUUUUUACUUUAAGGAAGCUGUUUCAUUUUUCCAUUUCUUCUCUUUGUCUUUUUGGCCAAACGUGGCUUAUUUUAUUCCUCGCAUAUAAAUUAAAAUAUUUUAUCUCAAAAAUAUGAUAAUCAGAGAAAUAUUUUGACAUAAUCCAAUAAGUCAUGGAUUAUCCAAGUUAAAUCAUGAAAAUAUGGUGUAAUUCUUUUUUUUCAGACACCAGAAAGAUGGUGCUAUCAGAUUCUGUUGUUUUGAUUCAUCUGGGAAGAUCAUGUUCCCAAAAUCAACACUGUGAAUCUUCCUUAUGUCUGACUUCCUGUCAUGGAAUUUUACUAUGUCCUUUCAUAAUUGCAACAGUGUUACAUUGAGGGAAAAUCAUAUCUCUGCUUGCAUCUUUAAAACAUAUAUUGCAUUUAGGCAUUUACAUAAAAUAUUAUAUAUAUAUGAAUAUGAAAUAAUACCUCUGUAAAUAUAUGAAUAUAUAUAGAGAGAGAGAGAGAAAGAGAGAGAGAGAGAGGCUGUAAGUUUCAAAAGGGUGGGUACAUUGGAGGAUUUGGAGGGAUGAAAGGAAGGGAGAAAAGAUGUAACUGUAUUAUAAUCUAAGAAAAAUGUCUUUAAAACAUUACAUCUUGGUUACUCUA